rnacentral:lncRNA from 1 species
CUCAAGGAGUUUUUGUGGGAAGGUGUGAACAAAGCCAGCAACAAACUAACACAGCACCCCAAGAGGGAAGAAGGUGAGUGGAGCAAAAAGGCUAAAACAAAGGAGAUAGAUCUCUGAGAGAGGGUAUCUGGGACAGCAAGCCAACGUGAGAUAGUCUCUCUGUCUCAUACAGAGGCAGAGAAAGUGACUGGUGCCACAUGCUAUCAGGGAUCACUCCAAAGAUAGCAAACCCAACACUGUGCACACAUUGCCUUCCAUCAGUGUCACAGACUCCCCUGCCGCCUCCACCCCCAUCCUCCAGCCACAAUCCUGCAACGUGCUACAAAACACAGUGCUGCCCUCAUACUCACCUUACUCGUCUCCUGACUGUCAGGAUCAAAUGGCACCUGCUUCACCGACAGCUCACGGCCAGUGUCAGCAUCAUAGCAGAGAUAAACUUCCCCAAAAGCUCCUCUUCCAAGCAGCUUCCCCAGCCUCCAGUUCACAGGUGCCUGCAGGGCUACAGUAGAGAGGAGAGGACUGAGAAAAGAGCACAGCAGGGAGACUUCAGCAUCAGGGUCCAUUUAUCAGGUCUGCAAUGUUCUCAACAGGGCAGCUGUACCAUCAUCCUUGUAAGACAAGGAAGGGGCAGCCUCCAGACCCAUUUGUUCCCAUGUCCCAAAUCUCCUGGAAGAUUCUGCUGUGUGAGCACAGUAAGAGGAAAAUGCACAAGCAAUUUUCUGCAACUCGGCCAGUUACGAAAAACAGCUGACCCUGCAGGCACUCUACUCAAGGCCAAGAUUUCCUGCAGGAUAAGAGCACGGCGAAUCGAAGUCCAACUGAAGUAAGGCCAAGAUCAAGGAGGGAGAAUCUCCUGAGCGCUGCAGUGCACAUAAUGAGCUGGCUUUCCACCAGCCCGAAAAACAAAACCAGUUGGGAAGUAUGGCAUCCUCCCCUUGAAGAUAAAUAAACAAAUGCUUAACCAUUAAGAGUUGGGGCACGCUGGAGAAAUCACCGUUAUCAUCUCAUUCGUGCUGCAUAAAGACAUCGGGGGGCUCUUGCUCCAAAAAGCCUCUCACUGGUCUGUCGUGGUGUUCCUGCUGUGCCUUAGCUCUGCUGAGCAUCUCUAUUCCUGCUGCUCCCAAGGUUGGGUCAGCUCGUGCACUGAUGUCAUCCCUCACUGCCACAACCCA